CUUGGUCAUUUAGAGGAAGUAAAAGUCGUAACAAGGUUUCCGUAGGUGAACCUGCGGAAGGAUCAUUACAGAGUUCAUGCCCUCACGGGUAGAUCUCCCACCCUUGAAUAUUAUACCUUCGUUGCUUUGGCAGGCCGUGGAAACACCAUGGGCUCCGGCUGAUGCGUGCCUGCCAGAGGAAACAAAACUCUGUUUUUAGUGAUGUCUGAGUACUAUAUAAUAGUUAAAACUUUCAACAACGGAUCUCUUGGUUCUGGCAUCGAUGAAGAACGCAGCGAAAUGCGAUAAGUAAUGUGAAUUGCAGAAUUCAGUGAAUCAUCGAAUCUUUGAACGCACAUUGCGCCCCGUGGUAUUCCGCGGGGCGUGCCUGUUCGAGCGUCAUUUCAACCCAUCACGCUUCGGCGUGGUCUUGGGGCCUGCGGUUUCGCAGCCUCUAAACGCAGUGGCGGUGCUAUUGAGCUCUGAGCGUAGUAAUUUCUCUCGCUAUAGAGUCUCGGUGGUGACUUGCCAACAACCCCCAAUUUUUAUCAGGUUGACCUCGGAUCAGGUAGGGAUACCCGCUGAACUUAAGCAUAUCAAUAAGCGGAGGA
rnacentral:rRNA from 1 species